UCGGGAAUUUUGGGCAAUGGGCGAAAGCCUGACCCAGCAACGCCGCGUGAAGGAUGAAGUAUUUCGGUAUGUAAACUUCGUAAGAAUAGGAAGAAUAAAUGACGGUACUAUUUGUAAGGUCCGGCUAACUACGUGCCAGCAGCCGCGGUAAUACGUAGGGACCAAGCGUUGUUCGGAUUUACUGGGCGUAAAGGGCGCGUAGGCGGUGUGUCAAGUCAGUUGUGAAAUCUCCGAGCUUAACUCGGAACGGUCAACUGAUACUGUCACACUAGAGUACAGAAGGGGCAAUCGGAAUUCUUGAUGUAGCGGUGAAAUGCGUAGAUAUCAAGAGGAACACCUGAGGCGAAGGCGGUUGCUGGGCUGAUACUGACGCUGAGGCGCGAAAGCUAGGGUAGCAAACGGGAUUAGAUACCCCAGUAGUCCCUGAGCGGGCUGGCAAGGCGCAU
rnacentral:rRNA from 1 species